rnacentral:rRNA from 1 species
GGGGGAUAUUGCGCAAUGGGGGCAACCCUGACGCAGCAACGCCGCGUGAAGGAUGAAGGUUUUCGGAUUGUAAACUUCUUUUAUUAAGGACGAAACUUGACGGUACUUAAUGAAUAAGCUCCGGCUAACUACGUGCCAGCAGCCGCGGUAAUACGUAGGGAGCAAGCGUUGUCCGGAUUUACUGGGUGUAAAGGGUGCGUAGGCGGCUUUGCAAGUCAGAUGUGAAAUCUAUGGGCUCAACCCAUAAACUGCAUUUGAAACUGUGGAGCUUGAGUGAAGUAGAGGCAGGCGGAAUUCCCCGUGUAGCGGUGAAAUGCGUAGAGAUGGGGAGGAACACCAGUGGCGAAGGCGGCCUGCUGGGCUUUAACUGACGCUGGGGCACGAAAGCGUGGGUAGCAAAC